UCCAGACUCCUACGGGAGGCAGCAGUGAGGAAUAUUGGUCAAUGGGCGAGAGCCUGAACCAGCCAAGUCGCGUGAGGGAGUACUGCCCUAUGGGUUGUAAACCUCUUUUGUCGGGGAGCAAAAGCCGGACGUGUCCGGCUGUGAGAGUACCCGAAGAAAAAGCAUCGGCUAACUCCGUGCCAGCAGCCGCGGUAAUACGGAGGAUGCGAGCGUUAUCCGGAUUUAUUGGGUUUAAAGGGUGCGUAGGCGGAAUAUCAAGUCAGCGGUAAAAAUUCGGGGCUCAACCCCGUCGUGCCGUUGAAACUGAUGUUCUUGAGUGGGCGAGAAGUAUGCGGAAUGCGUGGUGUAGCGGUGAAAUGCAUAGAUAUCACGCAGAACUCCGAUUGCGAAGGCAGCAUACCGGCGCCCAACUGACGCUGAAGCACGAAAGCGUGGGUAUCGAACAGGAUUAGAUACCCGUGUA
rnacentral:rRNA from 1 species